AGCUCCAAUAGCGUAUAUUAAAGUUGUUGCAGUUAAAAAGCUCGUAGUUGGAUUUCUGGUAGGAGUGACCGUGCCGGACUUGAUUGUCCGUGUAUUGUGUUGUCUCCAGCCAUCCUCGUGGAGAACUUUUCUAACAUUAACUUGUUGGAAUUGGGACCCACGUCGUUUACUGUGAAAAAAUUAGAGUGUUUAAAGCAGGCAAUCGCUUGAAUACAUUAGCAUGGAAUAAUAAGAUAGGACUUUGGUACUAUUUUGUUGGUUUGCAUACCAAAUUAAUGAUCAACAGGAACAGUUUGAGGAUAUUCGUAUGAACAUGUCAGAGGUGAAAUUCUUGGAUUUUGAUCAGACGAACUACUGCGAAAGCAUUUAUCAAGGAUGUUUUCAUUAAUCAAGAACGAAA
rnacentral:rRNA from 1 species